rnacentral:rRNA from 1 species
GAUGAACGCUGGCGGCGUGCCUAAUACAUGCAAGUCGAGCGAACGGACGAGAAGCUUGCUUCUCUGAUGUUAGCGGCGGACGGGUGAGUAACACGUGGAUAACCUACCUAUAAGACUGGGAUAACUUCGGGAAACCGGAGCUAAUACCGGAUGAUAUUUUGAACCGCAUGGUUCAAAAGUGAAAGACGGUCUUGCUGUCACUUAUAGAUGGAUCCGCGCUGCAUUAGCUAGUUGGUAGGUAACGGCUUACCAAGGCAACGAUGCAUAGCCGACCUGAGAGGGUGAUCGGCCACACUGGAACUGAGACACGGUCCAGACUCCUACGGGAGGCAGCAGUAGGGAAUCUUCCACAAUGGGCGAAAGCCUGACGGAGCAACGCCGCGUGAGUGAUGAAGGUCUUCGGAUCGUAAAACUCUGUUAUUAGGGAAGAACAUAUGUGUAAGUAACUGUGCACAUCUUGACGGUACCUAAUCAGAAAGCCACGGAUAACUACGUG